rnacentral:rRNA from 1 species
GAACGGUGAUAUUUAUAUCAUAGUGGCGCACGGGUGCGUAACACGUAUGCAACCUACCUAUUAUUGGGGGAUAGCCUUUGGAAACGGAGAUUAAUACCGCAUAAUACGAUUAACUGGCAUCGGUUGAUUGUUAAAGCAUUUGCGAUAAUAGAUGGGCAUGCGUCCAAUUAGUUAGUUGGUGUGGUAAUGGCUCACCAAGACGAUGAUUGGUAGGGGAUCUGAGAGGAUAAUCCCCCACACUGGCACUGAGAUACGGGCCAGACUCCUACGGGAGGCAGCAGUAGGGAAUAUUGGGCAAUGGGCGGAAGCCUGACCCAGCCAUGCCGCGUGCAGGAAGACGGCGUUAUGCGUUGUAAACUGCUUUUUUAUAGGAAGAAGGAUCCCUUGCGAGGGAAGGUGACGGUACUAUAAGAAUAAGCACCGGCUAACUCCGUGCCAGCAGCCGCGGUAAUACGGAGGGUGCAAGCGUUGUCCGGAUUUAUUGGGUUUAAAGGGUGCGUAGGCGGUUUAUUAAGUCAGUGGUGAAAGACGGUCGCUCAACGAUUGCAGUGCCAUUGAUACUGGUAGACUUGAGUGAGAUUGAGGUAGCUGGAAUGGAUAGUGUAGCGGCGAAAUGCAUAGAUAUUAUCCAGAACACCGAUUGCGAAGGCAGGUUACUAAGUCUUAACUGACGCUGAGGCACGAAGGUGUGGGGAUCAAACAGGAUUAGAUACCCUGGUAGUCCACACUGUAAACGAUGAUGACUAACUGUUGGCUUUU